rfam:Pelosinus sp. TFO1, complete genome.
CUCUUAUCGAGAGUGGUCGAGGGACUGGCCCUAUGACACCCAGCAACCGGCAGUAAUGCAGUGGUGCUAAUUCCAGCAGGAUAAUUAUCCUGAAAGAUAAGAG